AAAUUGAAGAGUUUGAUCAUGGCUCAGAUUGAACGCUGGCGGCAGGCCUAACACAUGCAAGUCGAACGGUAACAGGAAGCAGCUUGCUGCUUCGCUGACGAGUGGCGGACGGGUGAGUAAUGUCUGGGAAACUGCCUGAUGGAGGGGGAUAACUACUGGAAACGGUGGCUAAUACCGCAUAACGUCGCAAGACCAAAGAGGGGGACCUUCGGGCCUCUUGCCAUCAGAUGUGCCCAGAUGGGAUUAGCUUGUUGGUGAGGUAACGGCUCACCAAGGCGACGAUCCCUAGCUGGUCUGAGAGGAUGACCAGCCACACUGGAACUGAGACACGGUCCAGACUCCUACGGGAGGCAGCAGUGGGGAAUAUUGCACAAUGGGCGCAAGCCUGAUGCAGCCAUGCCGCGUGUAUGAAGAAGGCCUUCGGGUUGUAAAG
rnacentral:rRNA from 7 species